rfam:Gossypium raimondii Chr04_contig_565, whole genome shotgun sequence.
UAUUUAUUUUUCACUAACCGAUUUUUCUUUGUUUCUAUUUAUUUAACUUCAAUUUAGGUGUUUUAUGACCCGAAGAAAUUUGGAUUUUCUUUUCGAUUGUGAUCCAGAAAUUAAAAGGACUAUUCAGAGUAGACUUUGAGAACAAGGCGAUGAUUAGUAGCUAGUCCAAGAGGAUGAUCAGCCACACUGGGACUGAGACGCGUCCCAGACUCCUACUGGAGGCAAUAGUGGGGAAUUUUCUACAAUAGGCGAAAGCUGGACAGAGCAAUGUCGAGUGGAGGUAGAAGGCCUAUGGAUCGUGAACUUCUUUUCCCAGAGAAGAAGCAAUGACAGUAUCUGGGGAAUAAGCAUCGGCUAACUCUGUGCCAGUAGUCGUGGUAAUAUAGAGGAUGCAAGCGUUAUCUGGAAUGAUUAGGUGUAAAGCAUCUGAAGGUGGCAUUUUAAGUCCACCGUCAAAUCCCAGGGCUCAACCCUAGGCAGGCGGUGGAAACUACCAAGCUGGAGUACAGUAGGGGCAGAAGGAAUUUCUGGUGGAGUGGUCAAAUGCGUAGAGAUCGGAAAGAACACCAACGGCGGAAGCACUCUGCUGGGCUGACACUAACACUGAGAAAUGAAAGCUAGGGAAGUGAAUGGGAUUAGGUACCUCAGUAGUCCUAGUUGUAAACUAUGGAUACUAGGCAUUGUGCGUAUCGACCCGUAUAGUGCUGUAGCUAACGCGUUAAGUAUCCCGCCUAGGGAGUACGUUCGCAAGAAUGAAACUCGAAGGAAUUGAUAGGGGCCCGCACAAUCGAUGGAGCAUGUGGUUAAUUCGAUGCAAAGCGAAGAACCUUACCAGGGCUUGACAUGCCGCGAAUCCUCUUGAAAGAUAGGGGUGCCUUCGAGAACGUGGACACAGGUGGUGCAUGGCUGUCGUCAUCUCGUGCCAUAAGGUGUUGGGUUAAGUCCUGGAACGAGUGCAACCCUCGUGUUUAGUUUCCACCAUUGAGUUGGAACCCUGAGCAGACUGUUUGUGAUAAGUAAGAGGAAGGUGAGGAUGACGUCAAUUCAUCAUGCCCCUUAUGCAAGCAUUAUGCCCUGGGCGACACACGUGCUACAAUGGAAGGGACAAAAGGUCACGUUUCCACGAGGGUGAGCUAACUCCAAAAACCCAUUCUUAGUUCGGAUUGUAGGCUACAACACGCCUGCAUGAAGCCGAAAUCGCUAGUAAUCGUCAGUUAGCCAUACGAUGGUGAAUUCAUUCCCGGGCCUUGUACACACUGCCCGUCACACUAUGGGAGCUGGCCAUGCCCGAAGUCGUUACCUUAACCGCAAGGAAGGGGAUGUUGAAGGUAGGGCUAGUGACUAGAGUAAAGUUGUAACAACGUAGUCAUACUGGAAGGUGCGGCUGGAUCACCUCCU